rnacentral:rRNA from 1 species
CUAACGCUGGCGGUGCUCAACACAUGCAGUCGAACGGCAGCACAGCAGAGCUUGCUCUGUGGGUGGCGAGUGGCGGACGGGUGAGUAAUGCAUCGGGACCUACCUAGACGUGGGGGAUAACGUAGGGAAACUUACGCUAAUACCGCAUACGUCCUACGGGAGAAAGCAGGGGACCUUCGGGCCUUGCGCGGUUAGACGGACCGAUGUUCGAUUAGCUUGUUGGUGAGGUAAUGGCUCACCAAGGCGACGAUCGAUAGCUGGUCUGAGAGGAUGAUCAGCCACACUGGAACUGAGACACGGUCCAGACUCCUACGGGAGGCAGCAGUGGGGAAUAUUGGACAAUGG